UACGUAGGUGGCAAGCGUUGUCCGGAUUUAUUGGGUUUAAAGGGUGCGUAGGCGGUCCUAUAAGUCAGUGCUGAAGUAUCCCGGCUUAACCGGGAGGGUGGCAUUGAUACUGCAGGACUUGAGUGAAGUCGAAGUAGGCGGAAUUGACGGUGUAGCGGUGAAAUGCUUAGAUAUCGUCAAGAACACCGAUAGUGAAGACAGCUUACUAGACUUCAACUGACGCUGAGGCACGAAAGUGUGGGGAUCAAACAGG
rnacentral:rRNA from 1 species